rnacentral:rRNA from 1 species
GUGAGGAAUAUUGGACAAUGGAUGGAAAUCUGAUCCAGCCAUGCCGCGUGCAGGAAGACGGCCCUAUGGGUUGUAAACUGCUUUUGUAUGGGAGCAAUAAGGGCUACGUGUAGCCUGAUGAGAGUACCAUACGAAUAAGGACCGGCUAACUCCGUGCCAGCAGCCGCGGUAAUACGGAGGGUCCGAGCGUUAUCCGGAUUUAUUGGGUUUAAAGGGUGCGUAGGCGGUUUUAUAAUUCAGCGGUGGAAUUUUCCGGCUCAACCGGGAUACUGCCGUUGAUUCUGUAAGGCUAGGAUAUGGUUGCUGUGGGUGGAAUGUGUGGUGUAGCGGUGAAAUGCUUAGAGAUCACACAGAAUAUCGAUUGCGAAGGCAGCUCACAAAGCCAUUAUUGACGCUGAGGCACGAAAGUGUGGGGAUCAAACAGGAUUAGAAACCCGAGUAGUCC